rnacentral:rRNA from 1 species
AUGGAGAGAGAAGAGAGCCAGCCCAGCCGACCUGGGUCUGUCCAUCUAGGCCGGCCCAUUUGCGCACCUAGCCUAGCCCACCUAAACCCUCCUCUUAACCCUAGCCUGCACCCAGCGCCCGACCCUCAACUCCCUCGAUCCCCUCCUGCUUCCCUCGCGCCGCCACUCUUCUCGUUCUCCAUGCCCAGCUCCAUCCCCGCAGCCCUCCUCGCUCGACCCCAACACCAGCGCCGCCACCCCUCGUCCUUCCCUAUCCCCUUGUCCUCCCCAUUCGCCUCCUCCCUCGACUGCGCCGACCCACCGGAGCCGUUAUCGGCUGCUCCAUUCCCCACCUUCACCCUCUUCGUCAACUGCUAG